rnacentral:rRNA from 1 species
UGCAGUCGACGAUGAACCGGUUUCGGCCGGGGAUUAGUGGCGAACGGGUGAGUAACACGUGGGCAAUCUGCCCUGCACUCUGGGAUAAGCCCGGGAAACUGGGUCUAAUACCGGAUACGACACAUGAGCGCAUGCUCGUGUGUGGAAAGUUCCGGCGGUGCAGGAUGAGCCCGCGGCCUAUCAGUUUGUUGGUGGGGUAGUGGCCUACCAAGACGACGACGGGUAGCCGGCCUGAGAGGGUGACCGGCCACACUGGGACUGAGACACGGCCCAGACUCCUACGGGAGGCAGCAGUGGGGAAUAUUGCACAAUGGGCGAAAGCCUGAUGCAGCGACGCCGCGUGAGGGAUGACGGCCUUCGGGUUGUAAACCUCUUUCAGCAGGGAAGAAGCGAAAGUGACGGUACCUGCAGAAGAAGCACCGGCUAACUACGUGCCAGCAGCCGCGGUAAUACGUAGGGUGCAAGCGUUGUCCGGAAUUAUUGGGCGUAAAGAGCUCGUAGGCGGCCUGUCGCGUCGAUUGUGAAAGCCCAGGGCUUAACCCUGGGUCUGCAGUCGAUACGGGCAGGCUAGAGUUCGGUAGGGGAGAUCGGAAUUCCUGGUGUAGCGGUGAAAUGCGCAGAUAUCAGGAGGAACACCGGUGGCGAAGGCGGAUCUCUGGGCCGAUACUGACGCUGAGGAGC